UGAGAAAGAGCAGGAAAAGGUGCAGCUCCACAAGGAUUCCUCAGCCCGUGGGGCAGUGGGGAUCGGGCAGCAGCCUCCAGCCUUUGUCUGAGCAGGAGAUGCAAAUUAAAGCUUUGAGGCAGAGGUGGAUAUUCCACCGGGACACUGCUGGAUGUGGUGCUUGGGAAUGGGUCCAGCAUCCAUUUCUCUGGGGCUGGAUCAAUGCAGCACAGCAGGACAGAGCCAGAAACGGGCAGAGGAAAGGCUGUGGGAAUGCUGGACAGGAUAAACCUGCUCAAAAGCGCUCGGAAGCUGAAAAGGUUUCUUGCACAUCGCACUCUAUUUCGUGCUUGAUUAGGAAACCUGACCUGAUGAAAGGAGCGCGAAAUUACCGGUUUAAUGGCCAGAGAAGGGGAGAAAGCGGCGGAAUUCCCGUCAGCUCCCCUGCCUUUGUCUCAGGCUCUCUCUGCCGGUGGCCGCGGCUAGCUCGGGUUUCUGUCGCUGACCUGAUUCCGCACCGCACGCUCCUCCCAGCUCGGAGAGGCUCCCAUGUGAUCCAUUCUUCCCCCUAAAUAAAGUUGACAAAUUCGGCUGGGCUCAGAUGGUGCUGCCGAGGGGGUGUGGAGCGCUCCCACCCUCGCUGCAGCUGCGGCACCGGCUCGGGGCUCCCUGCCCGGCCUCGGGGCUCCCUGCCCGGCUCGGGGCUCCGUGCCCGGCUCGGGGCUCCCUGCCCGGGCUGCCAGCCGCCGGCAGCCCCGGAGCACAGGACGCGGCCGGAGCAGGAAACAAGCAACACCAAACUGGCAGCUGGCUGAGCCUUCCCUGCUCCUUGAUGAAGAAGGCAGCACAUCCCUGAGCUCAGCACCUGGGAAAAAGCUGCCCUGUGCUGGAGACUUGGUGCCACAGGCUGCAGCUCCUGCUCUCCCUGCCUCCAAACCCCUCUGCUGAGCCUCCCCAUGCCUGCAGCACCCGAGGCAAAGCUGGCUCCUGGAUGCUGACAGGGCAGCCCUAGAUCUGCUUCUCCAGGAAUCCUGAGAACACCUCCCCAGUCCCAAUGAGGCCCAAGCUGAGGGAGGCUCCUGGAGCUGCACUUUUGGCCUCAGCAGAUUAUGAGAACUUUGCUGAUGUCAACUCCACCAGGGACACGGAGAGCGAGCAGCUGGACGGGUCCCUCUCGUCCACCAUCGCACUCAUCGUCGUGCUGGUCAUCCUCUUCUCCCUGCUGAUGACAUCCCUCAUCACCUACUGCUUCCACAAGUGGAAACUCAGAGGGAAAAGACUGCAGAAAGCACAAGAGGAGUAUCAGAGAGACCAAGAAAAGAGCAUUUGCCAAAGCACACCUGGACUUGUUUCAUAAAAAGAGAAAUCCAGGAUCCACCAUGAAGUACUCUUGAAUUACCUGAAAAUCAUGAGAGAACUGCAAAUUUGAAAUUUCCAAGCAGAUACAUCCUUGUUUUAUCUCAUUUCUAAGAGUUGUUAGCAGUUUGGAGAUUUCCUACCGCUUUAUUAUACAUAUAUAUAUAUAUUUAUACAUUUAGUCUCAUUUGUGCAAAGUAAAACCAAUGCAAUUAUGUAUUUUUAAUCUCUUCUGUCGUUUUAAUCCUCGCUGGGCAAACUGUGGCAGUGCCAGUGAGGGUGGGCAGGCCCUGGCACAGAUUCCUGAGAAGCUGUGGCUGCCCCUGGAUCCCUGGCAGUGCCCAAGGCCAGGCUGGACAUUGGGGUUUGGAGCAGCCUGGGACAGUGGGAGGUGUCCCUGCCAUGGCAGGGCUGGAAUGGGAAGAGUUUUUAGCUCCAUUCCAACCCUGACCACAAUUUUUCUGUGUACUACUUAACCAUCAAAUUUCAACCUGUUGCUUCCAGCCCCCCUGGAAGGUGAAGAGGCAGAUUUGGGGUGUCCCAAAGCAGCUCAGCUGGUCCAAAGCAGGGCAGUUGUGCUGCUCUGGUGCCAGCAGCGCUGCAGGUGCUGCAGCGAGCGGGUCCCAGGCUGCUCCUGAGCCCACAUUUCAGUGACAUUUCAGUGCUGCCUUCACACCAGGGUUGUGCUGAGAGCUGCUCAUGCCAUUCCCACAAGCGGAUUAAGAACAUCCAGUGUCAGUGGAACUCAAAUUCCUAUGGGAAGAGACAGCCUAAACCACCUUUUUUAAUUAGGCAUCAAACCCUUUUUAAACCACCCAUACCACGGAGUGUUUCUAUUUCCAUAGCCUGGCCUGUGAUGCCACAGAGAAAUGACAGAUUUCUUGUGAGUAGCACAUCUAAGUCAUCUUUUCUAACCAAGUGAUGGAUGUAAUAUUAAUAAAUGUCAUUGUUUUAUAAAGUAGAAACCAUGUGAAGUUGGCACCAGCCCCCUGCUCAAGUCUACAGCUUGCUUGCAAUUACCAGUACUGCUGUAUGUAUUUUUAAACAAGCUAUAAUACUGUGAUGAUGCUGUAAACUUACCUCUGUAGGAAAAAAAAUGUUCUAUUUCAAAAUGUCAGGAUGAAGGAUGUAAAUGUUCUGAAAGUGCUAUCAACAACAACAACAACAACGAAAAAAGAUUUUUCACAGAAUAUUCUAAAGGAUUCUGUUACAUGCUACAUAUCUAUUUUACAAGGGUAUUUAUGGAUCAUACAGCCUAGUCUGUGAAAACAGUACUAUUUUAUUACAGAAUAAAUAAAUGAAUAAAUAAGCAGUGAAUAUCCAUGCCCAGA